GCGCCGGUGGUGUAAAGGCGUAGAGCAUUCCCGCCCGGUCAGAGGGAGGUGCGGGUUCGAGUCCCACCUGGCGCU
rfam:Heligmosomoides polygyrus genome assembly, scaffold: HPBE_contig0004185